rnacentral:rRNA from 1 species
UACGUAGGGUGCGAGCGUUGUCCGGAAUUAUUGGGCGUAAAGAGCUUGUAGGCGGUUUGUCGCGUCUGCCGUGAAAGCCCAGGGCUUAACCCUGGGUCUGCGGUGGGUACGGGCAGACUAGAGUGUGGUAGGGGAGACUGGAAUUCCUGGUGUAGCGGUGAAAUGCGUAGAUAUCAGGAGGAACACCAAAGGCGAAGGCAGUGUCCUGGGGAGUACCUGACGCUCAGGUGCGAAAGCCAGGGGAGCGAACGGG